rnacentral:sRNA from 1 species
UCCAGGAGUGGUGGCGCACGCCUGUAAUCCCAUCAGCUUGGAAGGCUGAGGCAGGAGGAUCGCAAGUUCAAGGGCAGCCCCAGCAAUUUAGCAAGGUCCUAAGCAACUUAAUGAGAUCCUGUCUCAA